rnacentral:rRNA from 1 species
UACGUAGGGUGCGAGCGUUAAUCGGAAUUACUGGGCGUAAAGCGUGCGCAGGCGGUCUGUUAAGACCGAUGUGAAAUCCCCGGGCUCAACCUGGGAAUGGCAUUUGGGACUGCAAGGCUAGAGUGUGGCAGAGGAGACUGGAAUUCCCGGUGUAGCAGUGAAAUGCGUAGAUAUCGGGAGGAAUACCGAUGGCGAAGGCAGGUCUCUGGGCUGACACUGACGCUCAUGCACGAAAGCGUGGGGAGCAAACAGG